rnacentral:rRNA from 1 species
AUUGAACGCUGGCGGCAUGCUUUACACAUGCAAGUCGAACGGCAGCGGGGGCUUCGGCCUGCCGGCGAGUGGCGAACGGGUGAGUAAUGCAUCGGAACGUGCCCAUGUCGUGGGGGAUAACUACGCGAAAGCGUGGCUAAUACCGCAUACGCCCUGAGGGGGAAAGCGGGGGAUCUUUCGGGACCUCGCGCGAUUGGAGCGGCCGAUGUCGGAUUAGCUAGUUGGUGGGGUAAAGGCUCACCAAGGCGACGAUCCGUAGCUGGUCUGAGAGGAUGAUCAGCCACACUGGGACUGAGACGCGGCCCAGACUCCUACGGGAGGCAGCAGUGGGGAAUUUUGGACAAUGGGCGCAAGCCUGAUUCAGCCAUGCCGCGUGAGUGAAGAAGGCCUUCGGGUUGUAAAGCUCUUUCGGCCGGGAAGAAAUCGCAUUCUCUAAUAUAGGAUGUGGAUGACGGUACCGGACUAAGAAGCACCGGCUAACUACGUGCCAGCCGCCGCCGUAAGAC